UACGUAGGUGGCAAGCGUUGUUCGGAAUUAUUGGGCGUAAAGGGCGCGUAGGCGGCUUGUUAAGUCGGCUGUGAAAGCCCGGGGCUCAACCCCGGAGGGUCAGCCGAUACUGUCGGGCUAGAGUCCGGAAGAGGCGAGUGGAAUUCCCGGUGUAGCGGUGAAAUGCGCAGAUAUCGGGAGGAACACCAAUGGCGAAGGCAGCUCGCUGGGACGGUACUGACGCUGAGACGCGAAAGCGUGGGGAGCAAACAGG
rnacentral:rRNA from 1 species